rnacentral:rRNA from 1 species
GCAAGUCGAGGGGUAAGGCUCUUUCGGGAGUACACGACCGGCGCACGGGUGAGUAACGCGUAUGCAACCUACCUUUAACUGGGGAAUAGCCCGACGAAAUUCGGAUUAAUACCGCCUAACAUUACGUAUUCGCAUGUUUCUGUAAUUAAAACUCUGGUGGUUAAAGAUGGGCAUGCGUGACAUUAGCUAGAUGGUAAGGUAACGGCUUACCAUGGCUACGAUGUCUAGGGGGUCUGAGAGGAUGGUC